GAUAAGAACGUAGCGAAAUGCGAUAAGUAAUGUGAAUUGCAGAAUUCAGUGAAUCAUCGAAUCUUUGAACGCACAUUGCGCCCCUUGGUAUUCCGAGGGGCAUGCCUGUUCGAGCGUCAUUAUAACCCUCAAGCUCAGCUUGGUGUUGGGGCCUGCUGCACUGGCAGCCCUUAAAAUCAGUGGCGGCGCCAUCUGGCUCUAAGCGUAGUAAUUCUUCUCGCUAUGGAGUCCUGGUGGAUGCUUGCCAUCAACCCCCAAUUUUUCUAUGGUUGACCUCGGAUCAGGUAGGGAUACCCGCUGAACUUAAGCAUAUCAAUAAGCGGAGGA
rnacentral:misc_RNA from 1 species